UUAACUUAAUCAUCGAAAGAUCUCCCACUAAAGGCCCCACCUCCAGUGUCAAUGGGCUUCUUUUGCAAGUCCUAUCUCGAUCUCCCGAUGUCGGACCUCCCUCCACCUUUGGCCACAUCAGCACCCCCAGAGCCUUGAUGCAACAAUACUGAAUGACUAUAUUAUCAUUAUCCAAUGAUAGAUGUGUUGUGAAAUAAUAUAAUAUAAUAAAAGGAGAGGGACACAACAAGAGA
rnacentral:lncRNA from 1 species